GAAGACUAGGAAGCAACUAAGCGUACGACAUCGGAAGAGUGUCGAAACGCCUGUCCAUCGCCUUUUGCCUCUGUUGGUAGGCGGGUAUGUUACCCUGUUGUUGUUGUUGGUACUGAGUUGGUUGACGUUGUGGUUGUUGUUGUUGUACUAGUGCUGCAGCCGGAAUGGUCACAGCCGCAACACACGGUUGUUGAUGAUAAUUCUGGAAGUUGUUUCUUCUGAUACUCCUGCUCUGAUAUGAAGACAAAGAAUUGGCAUCCCC
rnacentral:lncRNA from 1 species